GAACGCAGGGGGAAGGGGAGAGGAAGAAGAGAUGAUGGUACAAAAAUAGCGUGUGUGUAGGAAGGACUUCGGUGCCGCCUGGAAAAGAGGCGCGGGGAGGAGAGGGAGCGAGAAGGGGGCUGUGGCGCGCAACCAGAGGGGAAGGGUCGGGGCCUUCCCAGGGAGGUGGAGGCCCCCUGGCCAGGUGUCUCGGUGGUGGAGGGCGGACUGGGCGGGUGGGAGGCCCAGGCCGGGGCGUGUGUGGGAGAGCGGGGCCCUGAAGGCCUGGGUUCCGGGAGAAGGACAAGCCCUGAGGAAGAUGAGGGGAAGGGGAGCCGGGGCCAGAGGCCUGGAGUUGGAGAGGACAGAACCCCGGUUUUCCCGGAGGGAACGCCGUUCCUGUAGUAGCCAGGUCAGUGAUGGGGAGUGCCAGUGUCGUGGUCACCUGGCAGAAGGCUCCGCACUGUGGGAGGAACACAAGUUCAAGACCCCGCUGCUAAUGGGAGAGAAUUUUGGUUCACACAGUGGCGGUUAAGAGGACAGGAAUGACACAAGGUCCUUUGAGAUACAUUAUCUCACUGAAGCCUCAGCAACUCCGCGGUGUUCCCAGAGGUGAGGAAACACACUGAGAGACAGAACACGACUUGACCAGGGCCACCCUGUGGGGCACGCUGGCACCUGCACAGCCCAGCUUCACCUGGUUCCAGCCCUGCCCGCGCUCUGCUCCCCACUUCCCGUAACCCUGGGCUGGCGUCAGCAGGCAGGCCUGCCAGGAGGCUGGAGCUGCCAACGACCUAUUUUUCUGGGCAAGAAGAGCCAUUUGGAGUUAGAGGUCUCAGCUGUGAAGCCAGAACAAUAAAAAUAAAAACAGCACGGACUCCUGGGCAGCCUGGACCAGGGAACCAACUGCCCCAAGAGUUGCUGCUCACCAGGCUGGAAGGCAAGUGGGGUUGGGGGGAUGGGAGAUGGGAGUGACCUUACCGAGCCCCUGCUAUGUCCUCCGGCCCUUACAGAGUAAGGGUAAUCUCCAAGGUUCACAACAGGCCCUUUGUCUGGGUGGCCAGACCAGUCAGGAUUUGAACUCAGUUUUCCAAACAGUAACAAUUCCCAUCUGUUCAGCAGCUACUAUGCUUUACAGACUUGUGACAUUCAUACCACACCUGGGGGGGUGAGCUAAUCAUUCCCUCAUUCUACAGAUGAGGCAGCUGAGACUUCAGGAGGCCUCUGCUCACACGCCACCUCCUUGAGAGGCCUUGCCAGACCACCCUGUUAAAGUAGUCACCCUCACGCCUGCCCAAUAUGCCCUACCCUCUUCCCUAUUUUAUCUUCAUAGCAUGCAUCACGACCUGCUAAUAUUGUGUGUCUCCACUGCAUUUUGUCUGUCUCCCUAACUAGCUCCAGGUCAGUUUAUCCUAGUGGCUUGCACUCCAGCGGUCUCUCAGACUAGCCCCGUGGGGCAAGUUAUUUUGAUGAUCUGUGCUUCCUUCGGGGUAAUGAUAGGACCUUACCUGAAAGGUUUCUUGUGAGGGUUAAAUGAGUUAAUAUCGGUUAAGUGUUGGCCGCUGCCAUUGUUUUGUCCCAGAGCUGUAGCUCCAGGGUCUUUAACAGUAAACAAUAGGUUGUCAAUAAAUAUGUAUUAAAUUUAAAAACUG
rnacentral:lncRNA from 1 species